UACGUAGGGGGCAAGCGUUGUCCGGAAUUAUUGGGCGUAAAGAGCGUGUAGGCGGUCCGGUAAGUCGGCUGUGAAAGUCCAGGGCUCAACCCUGGGAUGCCGGUCGAUACGGGCAGGCUAGAGUUCGGUAGGGGAGUCUGGAAUUCCUGGUGUAGCGGUGAAAUGCGCAGAUAUCAGGAGGAACACCGGUGGCGAAGGCGGGACUCUGGGCCGAUACUGACGCUGAGGAGCGAAAGCGUGGGGAGCAAACAGG
rnacentral:rRNA from 1 species